AAGUGAAGGUUGUGAUUGAGGUGGGGGAUGAUGAAUCAAAAGGGGGUUGAAAAAAUGUGUGGGGGGUAGGAUUUUUUUUUUUCCUUUUUUUUUCUUUAAAAUUUUCCAUUUAAAGAUGGUUGUUUCAGAUUUAUAUAUGAAAGAAAAUAAUAAUGAUACGGUUAUAUAUCAUGAGGAAUUGAAAUUUAAAAUUAUGUAUAUUGGAAAUUUAGGUUACAUUGGAAAGUAAUAAUUGGCUUUGGGGGGGGGGGGGGGGGGGGGGGGGGGGGGGUGGUUAUGGCUCUAAUGUUUAAGGAAUAAGGGGAAAAAAGGUUAAAAAACAAGGGUUUCCAUUUUAAUAGACAAAUAAUUGAGUAAAGAACAUUAUUUAAAAGCAGUGUAAGGUUGGUAAUUCAAACUCAUUUAAAUAUCUCAUCUACACUGCUUUUAAAUUAUGUAAAUUGGAAAUUUGCCAAUAACUUUAUUGUUAAUAAAUGCAUUGGAAAUUUGCCAACAAUUUUAGUGUAAUAAACUUCAUUGGAAAUUUGCCAAUAUAAAAUUUUGCUGAUGAAGGUUUUUUGUUUACCUUUAGCCUUGACUAUGAAGUCAUUUUCUAUUUUUAUAGCCUUAUGAUGUAGUUGAAUUAUUUAAUACUUUUAUGAUGUGUUUUAAUGGGGUUUUAUCAUGUUUAUGGUUGCAAAUUUAUUGUUUUAGUAUAAUAAACUCCAUUUAAAAUUUGCCAAUAAAAAAAUUUUUUGUUUAUUUUUAGCUAUGAUUAUGAUGUCAUUUUCUAUUUUACUUUUAUGGUUGCAAAGAAAUUUUUAUUUUUAUACGACCGCAAAAAAAUUUUUGUGGUCGUAUAUUGGUAUGACGUUGGCGUCGUCGUCGUCGUCGUCGUCCGGCGUCGUCGUCCGAAUACACAUUAGUUUUCGCACUCUAACUUUAGUUUAAGUAAAUGGAUCUCAUUGAAAUUUUACCAUAAGGUUAAAUACCACAAAAGGAAGGUGGGGAUUGAUUUUGGGGGUUAUGGUACCAACAGUUAAGGAAUAAGGGGCCAAAAAGGGGCCAAAAAUAAGCAUUUUCUAGUUUCCAGACAAUAACUGUGGAACGGUGUAUGGAUCUCUCUGAAAUUAUACUACAAGUUUCCAUACCACAAAGGGAUGGUUAGGAUUUGC